GACGAACGCUGGCGGCGUGCUUAACACAUGCAAGUCGAGCGAGGCCCUUCCUUCGGGAAGGUGCCCUAGCGGCGAACGGGUGAGUAACACGUGGGCAACCUGCCCCUAGCACUGGGAUAACUCCGGGAAACCGGGGCUAAUACCGGAUACGACCUCAGAAGGCAUCUUCCGAGGUGGAAAAAUUUAUUGGCUAGGGAUGGGCCCGCGGCCUAUCAGCUUGUUGGUGAGGUAACGGCCCACCAAGGCUCGACGGGUAGCCGGCCUGAGAGGGCGACCGGCCACACUGGGACUGAGACACGGCCCAGACUCCUACGGGAGGCAGCAGUGGGGAAUAUUGCACAAUGGGCGAAAGCCUGAUGCAGCGACGCCGCGUGAGGGAUGACU
rnacentral:rRNA from 1 species